rnacentral:rRNA from 1 species
GAUGAACGCUGGCGGCGUGCCUAAUACAUGCAAGUCGAGCGAACAGACGAGGAGCUUGCUCCUUCGACGUUAGCGGCGGACGGGUGAGUAACACGUAGGUAACCUACCUAUAAGACUGGGAUAACUUCGGGAAACCGGAGCUAAUACCGGAUAAUAUUUCGAACCGCAUGGUUCGAUAGUGAAAGAUGGCUUUGCUAUCACUUAUAGAUGGACCUGCGCCGUAUUAGCUAGUUGGUAAGGUAACGGCUUACCAAGGCAACGAUACGUAGCCGACCUGAGAGGGUGAUCAGCCACACUGGAACUGAGACACGGUCCAGACUCCUACGGGAGGCAGCAGUAGGGAAUCUUCCACAAUGGGCGAAAGCCUGACGGAGCAACGCCGCGUGAGUGAUGAAGGUCUUCGGAUCGUAAAACUCUGUUAUUAGGGAAGAACAAACGUGUAAGUAACUGUGGACGUCUUGACGGUACCUAAUCAGAAAGCCACGGCUAACUACGUG